UUGAUCCUGGCUCAGGAUGAACGCUGGCGGCGUGCCUAAUACAUGCAAGUCGAACGGGAGCCACUGAAUUCGUUUGGUGGUGAGAGUGGCGCACGGGUGAGUAACACGUAGCUGACCUGCCCUUUGCUGGGGGAUAACCCGGGGAAACCCGGGCUAAUACCGCGUAAGCUUGAUGAUCUUAGAAGUCAUUGAGGAAAGUAAUGGCAACGGCGAAGGAGGGGGCUGCGGGCCAUCAGCUAGUUGGUGAGGUAACGGCUCACCAAGGCGAAGACGGCUAGGGGGCCUGAGAGGGUGACCCCCCACACUGGGACUGAGACACGGCCCAGACUCCUACGGGAGGCAGCAGUAAGGAAUAUUGCCCAAUGGACGCCAGUCUGAGGCAGCAACGCCGCGUGGAGGAUGACGGUCUUCGGAUUGUAAACUCCUUUUCUGUGUGAAGAGAAAGGACGGUAGCACAGGAAGAAGUCUCGGCUAACUACGUGCCAGCAGCCGCGGUAAAACGUAGGAGGCGAGCGUUAUCCGGAGUUACUGGGCGUAAAGCGCGCGUAGGCGGUGGUGCAAGUGGUGCGUGAAAGCUCCUGGCUCAACUGGGAGAGGCCGUACCAAACUGCAUGACUAGAGAGAGACAGAGGUCGACGGAAUUCCGGGUGGAGUGGUGAAAUGCGUAGAGAUCCGGAGGAACAUCAGUGGCGAAGGCGGUCGGCUGGGUCUCAUCUGACGCUGAGGUGCGAAAGCGUGGGUAGCGAACGGGAUUAGAAACCCCGGUAGUCCACGCCGUAGACGAUGCAGACU
rnacentral:rRNA from 1 species